UCCCUGGCGGUCUAGUGGUUAGGGCUCCGCACUUUCACUGAGGUGACCUGAGUUCAAUCCCUAGUUGGGGAA
rnacentral:tRNA from 1 species